rnacentral:rRNA from 1 species
AACGUAGGAGGCGAGCGUUAUCCGGAUUUACUGGGCGUAAAGCGCGUGUAGGCGGCACGGCAAGUUGGAUGUGAAAGCUCCUGGCUUAACUGGGAGAGGUCGUUCAAAACUGCCGAGCUAGAGUGCGGGAGAGGGAGGUGGAAUUCCGGGUGUAGUGGUGAAAUGCGUAGAUAUCCGGAGGAACACCAGUGGCGAAAGCGGCCUCCUGGCCCGCAACUGACGCUCAGACGCGAAAGCUAGGGUAG